rnacentral:rRNA from 1 species
UACGAAGGGUGCUAGCGUUGUUCGGAAUCAUUGGGCGUAAAGCGCGCGUAGGCGGCCAAUCAAGUCAGGGGUGAAAUGCCACGGCUCAACCGUGGAACUGCCUUUGAAACUGAUUGGCUGGAAGAUGAGAGGGGAUAGCGGAAUUUCUGGUGUAGAGGUGAAAUUCGUAGAUAUUGGGAAGAACACCGGUGGCGAAGGCGGCUCUCUGGACCGAGACUGACGCUGAGGCGCGAAAGCGUGGGGAGCAAACAGG